rnacentral:rRNA from 1 species
GGGUCAGUAGGUUGGUCGUGCCACCGGUACGUACUGGUCUCACUGAUUCCUCCUUCCUGAAGAACUGUAAUGCCAUUAAUUUGGUGUUGCGGGGAAACAGGACUGUUACCUUGAAAAAAUUAGAGUGUUUAAAGCAAGCUAACGCUUGAAUACAUUAGCAUGGAAUAAUGAAAUAGGACGAUCGAUCCUAUUUUGUUGGUUUCUAGGAUUGACGUG